rnacentral:lncRNA from 1 species
CGCCAGUCUGUGCCUUUCUUACAGGCCUCCCUCAACCCUUCACUGCUCCAUUAUUUCAACAGCUACAAUUACUUCCUUUCCGCUGGUUCCUUUCCUUCUACAGACUUUACUGAAAACUUCACAAUCUAUGAAAACUGCUUCCAGUUACAGUCUAGACAGUCUCUUUCCAAAGACUGAAUUGAAAAAACAAAUCCUGAAACCCUUACUUCCUUGUCACCCAUUUUUCCUAACCCUAACUUGACCUUUGAAGGCCAGCAGUGACAUUUUACUUCCUUAAUAAAAACAAGCAAUCUUUUUUUUGCAUUUAUACUUCAUCUCUAAGUGACCAAAAGCUUCUUAAGGGCAAGAUUUAUGUCUUCUUUUCCUUUGUAUCCUUAGUAACCAGUAUGUUGUCUGGCAUACAGUAGGCCCUCAAAAACAUUUCAUCUUAGACUUCAGAGUUCUCAUACCAAGUCUGACUACUCCUCAGCCUUUUCUUAAAGUUUUUCAGGGGUCCACCAACGUCCCUGUGCUCCUUUCUCAUUCUCUUAGGUUAGGAAACUCAUCCAUAACAUAAACUAUCCAUUUUACAUAAAUGAUCUCAAAUUCCUAAUUCUAUCACCUCUAUUAGAAAGCUGAACUCAUGUUUCCAACUUCUGGACAUUUUCACAUGGAUGUUUUAGUGAACUUCAAAAUGAUUCCAUUUAAAUUUACUCAUAACUUGCCCCUACUACAAACUCCUCUGUUCCUUAGGUUCUAAGCCUUAGAGAAACCUGUGACUUUCUCUCAACCUUAUACUGCUUCACCUAUUUUCUGCACACACAUGCUUUCUACUCCUUCCCAUUCAAGUAUGUUACUUUAUUCCUAAACCACUGCAAAAACCUCCAUUGGCCUUCCAUUUUCUACUUCAAAUUAAGUAUGCCUUAAAAUAAAUUCUAAUUGGGAAUAUACAUGGAGACCUAAAAUACAGAAUGUGCAUAUCAGUUUAAGUUCCCAUCCCCCUUCUUUCGGUAUCAUCUGGAUAAUGUUGUCCUCUGGCUCAAACUCUCAAUGGCUUACCACUGCCAAGAGGAUAACAGUUUACAGCUUAGCCUUCCUGAUUAAAAGGGUUUCUCAGCCAGGCGCGGUGGCUCAUGCCUGUAAUUCCAGCCCUCUGGGAGGCUGAGGCAGGCAGAUCACGAGGUCAAGAGAUUGAGACCAUCUUGGCCAACAUGGUGAAAUCCCGU